rnacentral:rRNA from 1 species
AUGCAUCACCUAGAGUAUGCCAAGGACAGGAUCAUGAUGGGAAGCGAGCGCAAGUCAGCGGUGAUACCUGAUCAUUCCAGGAAGAUGACCGCGUACCAUGAGGGAGGGCACGCUCUUGUUGCUAUCUUCACAGACGGUGCUGAUGCUGUCGACAAGGCCACCAUUGUUCCCAGGGUGGGUGCUCUUGGCAUGGUGAUGCAGCUGCCAGGGGAAGAUGCCGAGUUUGAACUCUCGAGGAAGCAGAUGCUGGCGACUCUAGAUGUCAUGAUGGGCGGGCGGGUGGCCGAGGAGCUUAUAGCCGGAGAAGGCAGGGUCACCACUGGUCCCUCAACUGAUCUAAGUGAGGCGACUCAGCUGGCGACUGACAUGGUCACCAAGUAUGGCAUGGGCAAGCGGGUGGGCUUUGUUACCUAUAGCAAUGGCGGUGAUGCUAGCGGUGGCAAGGCGACGAACAUGAGCGGGCGGAUGUCAGAACUGGUUGACGAGGAGGUGAAAGAUUUACUGGACAACGCUUACAAGAACGCCAAAGCGAUUCUCACGGAUCGUAGGAAGGAGCUUGAUGCGCUAGCCAACGCCCUCCUGAAGGAUGAGACUCUCACUGGUGACCAGAUCAAGAAACUAGUAACAGGAGGUGGAAGUAAAUGGUUUUGA